rnacentral:piRNA from 1 species
UAACAUUGGCUUUUUAGAGUGUCUUCUUCUC